UUCAAAAAUAAUUGCAGAAAUUGUGAACAUUAGUUAUUAUCUAUGUGAUAAUGGGCAUCAAUGAAGAGCCUUUUUUAAUUUAUUUUAUUUCAUUGGCGGCAAUGUGCACAUAUGCAUGAGUAGAGGUACAAUUUUAAUGGAUUACUGCAUAACACAGCUAAGCUCUUUGUGUGUGCGCCUGAGAUUUCUCAUCUACAUCUAUAUGUGUGUGCAAGUGCUGGCAAAUGCUGGCACAAUGCACGUAUUCUUCAUGUGCAUAUAUGCAUCUUUUUUGUGUAUUUUUUGUUCCAUUAUUAUCUUUUCUUGCAUGCAUUUUUUAUUUGGUUGAAAAUUGGGGAAGUUUCUCAUUUAUUAUUUAUUACUCCAAGAGUUUACUCUACCUUUAUUCUCAUUGACUUCAUUUGUGCUUGAGUUUGCUAUUACAUUUUUUAGUGUAUCUGAAUUCCCCAACCUUGUUUCUCCAUGGCGUCAACUUUUGUUGAGUUUACUAAUACAUUUUUAGUUUAUCUUUACAAAAUUAUUGUCAUUGAUGGGGAAGCUCCCCAACAUUUACCCUCCAUGGCUUAAAUUACUCUGUCAAGCUUGACGAUUUAGUUAUGCAAGAUCUUUCUUGUACUUUGCAUUUCUGAAUUCUUUUCAUGGUCAUUGCAUUUGAAGACCCAAUUUUACAUGGCAUUGUUGUACACGGCAACAACAGCAAUCUUGACUGCACAAAUAGUAUACUACGGUCAUCUUUGCCAUCGACUGGAAGCAGAUAAAGCUUGUAAAUUGGAGAAGCUUUCUUCCACUACUAUAUGGCUCUAAAUGAUUUUGUGGCUAUAAAUAAAGGGUAUGAGGGAUAUUUUCAACCUUGUAGGCCUGUCUCCUG